GGGAAAGACAGAUACCAGAGACUGGGAAUCAUGAGUGGUGGGAGGAAGAGGAUAAGGAGAACUGGGUUAAAGUGUACAAACAUACAGUAAGUUAGAAGGAAAAAAUUCAAUGUUCAACAGCUGACUGGGGUGACUAUACUUAACAAAGAUGUAUUGUACUCGGGUGGACACCCCAAAUACCCGUGUGGUGACUUGAUCACCACACAUUAUACACAUGUAACAAAAUUUCUCAUGUAUCCCAUAGAUUUGUACAAAUAAAAAAUAAAAAGUCUGGUCUCAUUAAUUCUUUACAUUUAGAAAGGAAUUAAUUUUUACAGAUACAGUACUUACUUUUCAAUUUUAUUGUAUAACUUUUCAUUAAAGUGAGAAAGCCAUUAUAUUCAUAAGACAAACACAGUAUCAAAGAAGUUAAAGUCAUUAGGUAAUGAAAUAACAAUCAUCUCAAAUUUGGAUGCACAUGCUCAAUAACUUUUUCUCUCAGCCUAAAUGCCUUAUUGACAGGGAAAAGUUAUAUGAGAGGAAAACAAAGUGGCAAGAAAACUGCACUGGCCCCUCAGGACAAAAACUCAUCAAGGAAAGAUUCAAAUGUUUUAAAGUUCUGCAAAAGCAAUAUGAAAAACCAAAGUCCAGCAUUGGGGGCGGGUAAAGGUGGGUUUGUGAAUAGGAAGAAAGGCUGGAAGUUUCAGCUCCCUUACAGAGUACCUGGAAAAAAGACACUGAUUAGUAAUUACAUGAGCUAAAUUCUCCUUUAGCAUCUCUCAGUAUUAAUUCUCUGCAAAUAUUUGUAUUACAAUAUUCCAAUUAGCUCCUUGGGAAGAAAUUUUGAUGUAACUAUUCUCAUUCUACAGACAGGGAAAUUCCAGAAGCCACUGCUGAUGGGGAGUGGGGAGGGGCUGAAAAGCCUGGCCACAGAGCAGAGGUGUUUCAACGAGGGUGUGUGGCUUGGCAGACCCGCCUUCAAUUCCUGAGCCUGCACCCAGGAGUGACAAGCCUGGACUCACAGCUGCCCGGCUUUCGAAAGAGAAAAAGAGGUCAAGUGGCCUUUCCCAGCUGGAAGAUGCCUGUUGCAGCUGCUUGAGAGUCCUAUCCGGGAGGACACAAUCUCGAAAAGGGGACCUGCCAGGAGAGCUGUGGCAUAAGCCCACUCGAGUGAGCAUCCCAGGCCAGGGAGGAAUGUAGAGUGGAAGGGUCAAUGGAAGAUUCCAGCCCAGCCAGUGAGGCUGAAACUGGACAUCCUGAAUCCUCUCUUCAUUAAGGCAAACCAUUAUGGAGAGAACACUGCAAACAUGCCAACCCUGGGAACCAGGCACACAUGGAUCGCAUCCCAGCCCUGCCCUUGCUGGUUAUGUCUGGAUCUUCAUCUCAUCUAUAUGUCAGGGGAUGGCACAACUGGCAUUGUGCUCAAGACUGAAAGAGGCAAUGUCUGAAAAGCACAUGGCCCCGUGCAGGUGAGUGCUCAGUAAAUAGUGCACAUUCUUGUCACUGGUCCCAUCUUCAUCUUACAGAACUGACAAUAACCACAGCCACAGAGAUUUUUCCAGUUUGGUCUCAUCUCAACUGGGUGCUACAGAUUUGCCAUGAAAUAUUUUCAGGGA
rnacentral:lncRNA from 1 species